AGCGAACGCUGGCGGCAGGCCUAACACAUGCAAGUCGAACGAACUCUUCGGAGUUAGUGGCGGACGGGUGAGUACCACGUGGGAACGUGCCUUUAGGUUCGGAAUCACUCAGGGAAACUUGUGCUAAUACCGAAUGUGCCCUUCGGGGGAAAGAUUUAUCGCCUUUAGAGCGGCCCGCGUCUGCUUAGCUGGUUGGUGAGGGAAAGGCUCACCAAGGCGACGAUCAGUAGCUGGUGUGUUAGGAUGCUCAGCCACAUUGGGACUGAGACACGGCCCAAACUCCUACGGGGAGCAGCAGUGGGGAAUCUUGCGCAAUGGGCGAAAGCCUGACGCAGCCAUGCCGCGUGAAUGAUGAAGGGCUUAGUAUUGUAAAAUUCUUUCACCGGGGACGAUAAUGACGGUACCCGGAGAAGAAGCCCCGGCUAACUUCGUG
rnacentral:rRNA from 1 species